UACGGGGGGGGCAAGCGUUGUUCGGAAUUACUGGGCGUAAAGGGCGUGUAGGCGGCCUUCUAAGUCGGACGUGAAAUCCCUCGGCUCAACCGGGGAACUGCGUCUGAUACUGGAAGGCUCGAAUUCGGGAGAGGGAUGCGGAAUUCCAGGUGUAGCGGUGAAAUGCGUAGAUAUCUGGAGGAACACCGGUGGCGAAGGCGGCAUCCUGGACCGAUAUUGACGCUUAAGCGCGAAAGCCAGGGGAGCAAACGGG
rnacentral:rRNA from 1 species